AGGAAGAUAAGCUAACUAAGCUAUUAGGUUCAUACCCUGCCCAUAGAGGUUUAAAUCCUCUUCUCCCUA
rnacentral:tRNA from 1 species